rnacentral:tRNA from 4 species
UCCCCGGUUGGUCUGUCGGCAGGGCCCGCCUGACUUUGAAUCAGGAUCAGCGACGCAGGUUCGACUCCUGCCCGGGGAG